rnacentral:rRNA from 1 species
AUUGAACGCUGGCGGCAGGCCUAACACAUGCAAGUCGAGCGGAGCGGCGGACGGGUGAGUAAUGCCUAGGAAUCUGCCUGGGAGGGGGGGAGAACGUCAGGAAACGGGCGCUACUCCCGCAUCGCAUCAGAUGAGCCUAGGUCGGAUUAGCUAGUUGGUGGGGUAAAGGCCUACAAGGGGGACGCUCCGUAAGUGGUCUGAGAGGAUGAUCAGUCACACUGUAACUGUGACACGGUCCGGACGCCUACGGGAGGCAGCAGUGGGGCAUAUUGGACAAGGGGCGAAAGCCUUAUCCAGCCAUGCCGCGUGUGUGAAGAAGUUCUUCGGAUUGUAAAGCUCUUUAAGUUAGGAGGCGUUACCAACAGAAUAAGCACCGGCUAACUUCGUGCCAGCAGCCGCGGUAAUUC